UACGUAGGUGGCAAGCGUUGUCCGGAUUUACUGGGCGUAAAGAGCGCGCAGGCGGUCGAAUAAGUCGAAUGUGAAAGCCCCCGGCUUAACUGGGGAGGGUCAUUCGAUACUGCUCGACUUGAAGGCAGGAGAGGGUAGUGGAAUUCCCGGUGUAGUGGUGAAAUGCGUAGAUAUCGGAAAGAACACCAACGGCGAAAGCACUCUGCUGGGCCGACACUGACACUGAGAGACGAAAGCUAGGGGAGCGAAUGGG
rnacentral:rRNA from 1 species